AUUGAACGCUGGCGGCAGGCCUAACACAUGCAAGUCGAGCGGAUGAAGGGAGCUUGCUCCUGGAUUCAGCGGCGGACGGGUGAGUAAUGCCUAGGAAUCUGCCUGGUAGUGGGGGAUAACGUCCUGAUACGGGCGCUAAUACCGCAUACGUCCUGAGGGAGAAAUUGGGGGAUCUUCGGACCUCACGCUAUCAGAUGAGCAUAGGUCGGAUUAGCUAGUUGGUGGGGUAAAGGCCUACCAAGGCGACGAUCCGUAACUGGUCUGAGAGGAUGAUCAGCCACACUGGAACUGAGACACGGUCCAGACUCCUACGGGAGGCAGCAGUGGGGAAUAUUGGACGAUGGGCGAAAGCCUGAUCCAGCCAUGCCGCGUGUGUGAAGAAGGUCUUCGGAUUGUAAAGCACUUUAAGUUGGGAGGAAGGGAAGUAAGUUAAUACCUUGCUGUUUUGACGGUACCAACAGAAUAAGCACCGGCUAACUUCGUG
rnacentral:rRNA from 1 species